rfam:Firmicutes bacterium CAG:791 genomic scaffold, scf155
UGCAGAGUAGGAACAAAUGCGUUGGUCUGUAUCGGAAAUGGAUUCCGGAGAGACCUGUAGUGCUGCGGGAACAGGGAGUUGUCCCGCGGACGAAAGACAGCGAUGCUGUCUACGGUGUUGGUUCCGCAUCCCGCUGCU